rnacentral:rRNA from 1 species
AUGCAAGUCGAGCGAGAAAGUAUCUUCGGAUAUGAGUAGAGCGGCGGACGGGUGAGUAACGCGUAGGAAUCUACCUAGUAGAAGGGGAUAGCCCGGGGAAACUCGGAUUAAUACCGUAUACCUCCUAAGGGAGAAAGAGGGCCUCUCUUGAAGCUCUCGCUACUAGAUGAGCCUGCGUAAGAUUAGCUUGUUGGUAAGGUAAUGGCUUACCAAGGCUACGAUCUUUAGCUGGUCUGAGAGGACGAUCAGCCACAUUGGGACUGAGACACGGCCCAGACUCCUACGGGAGGCAGCAGUGGGGAAUAUUGGACAAUGGGCGCAAGCCUGAUCCAGCCAUACCGCGUGUGUGAAGAAGGCCUUCGGGUUGUAAAGCACUUUAAGCAGGGAGAAAAAGCAAUAAGUUAAUACCUUAUUGCCGUGAUGUUACCUGCAGAAUAAGCACCGGCUAAUUCCGUGCCAGCAGCCGCGGUAAUACGGAAGGUGCAAGCGUUAAUCGGAAUUACUGGGCGUAAAGCGCGCGUAGGUGGUUUGUUAAGUUGGAUGUGAAAGCCCUGGGCUCAACCUAGGAACUGCAUCCAAAACUAACUCACUAGAGUACGAUAGAGGGAGGUAGAAUUCAUAGUGUAGCGGUGGAAUGCGUAGAUAUUAUGAAGAAUACCAGUGGCGAAGGCGGCCUCCUGGAUCUGUACUGACACUAAGGUGCGAAAGCGUGGGUAGCGAACAGGAUUAGAUACCCUGGUAGUCCACGCCGUAAACGAUGACAACUAGCUGUUGGGAGACAAUGUCUUUCAGUGCGCAGCUAACGUUUUAAGUUGUCCGCCUGGGGAGUACGGCCGCAAGGCUAAAACUCAAAUGAAUUGACGGGGACCCGCACAAGCGGUGGAGCAUGUGUUUAUUCGAUGCAACGCGAAAACCUUACCUACUCUUGACAUACUUGGAAGCUCUGUAAUGAGAGUGUGCCUUUUGAGCAAGAUACAGUGCUGCAUGGCUGUCGUCAGCUCGUGGUCGUGAGAUGUCCGUUAAGUCGGAUAACGAGGCGCCAACCCCUCACUCUUAUUUGCCAGCGAAUUCGUGCGGGAACUAUUAAGGGGACGGCGCGCGGGUAUAUACCCAGAAAAGUUAUAGAGAGACGUCG